GGUUUUAAAAAGUCCAUCAAAAAUUGGUAGUAGCAGUUACUUUUUAUUCAGGAGUUGUGCUGUAAUCACAACUAGAAUAUUUUAUUUAACAAUUAGAAUUUUAAGAAUAUUUAAAAAUAAACAUGACACAUCUAGGAAUGGUUUGCAUUGGCUGUAAAGCUGAAGCUGCUAUGGGAUAGAAAUUAAUAUUGUGGAACACACCGCCCCAAAACUUAGUGCCUUAAAAUAACCAUUUAUUUGGCUUGUGAUUCUGUGGACUGGACAUUUGGGCUGGAUUUAGCUGGGUGGUUCUUCUGCUGGUCCAUCUAGGCUCACUGCCACGUCUGCAGUCAGCUGCCUGAGUGUCUCGGAGCUUCUUGGUCUCGGGCACCCUCAGGUAGGACAGUUUUCCCUGCUCUCUGUGGUCUCAUCCUCCAGCACGCUAGUUCAGGUUCACAUAGAGGCAGAAAGGAGAGAGGAGCCUCAAGGCAAAAGCAGAAAGUCUCUGGAGGCCCCAGCUUGGAAAUUGCACAGCGUAACCUUUGCCAGACAUUUGGUCAAAGCAAUCUCAAGGUGGCCCAGAUUGAUGGGGUGGGGGAACAGACUCUCCUCUCCAUGGGAGGAGACAGAAGUACCGUGGCCAGAUUUUCAGCCUCCCACACCAGUUCAUAUUUGUUCAUUUCGAAUACUCAAAUACCAGAUUUUAACUACUGGAACAGUGUGUGUGUGUGUGUGUGUGUGUGUGUGUGUGUGUGUGUGUGUGUUACUAACCGUCUCUUCUCAAUAUGCAGCUCUCAGAAGCGAAGGGUAUUUGAAGUAACCUCACUUUUGUGAGUCAUCCGUUUGAUCAGGGACAUGUUUAUUCAGAUACCAAAGCAACUGAAGAGAUAAUUUAACAUAAGUAAAACUAGACUACAACUGGUUUACUUGCACAAUAUUUAUUGAAUAGCUUUGAGUGCCUCCUUGGUGCCUGGCACUGGGAUAGGUAUUUAUGAACACAGAAAAAAGAAACAUGGCAUAAUCUUUCAACAAAUUUGUAUUCUUAUAGGAUGAGCAAAAUGUAUGCCCGUUCAAUCCCAGAAGCAUAUAUUAUUAAUGUGUCAAGGACUGGGCUUUAAUCAAAGAUCGUACACAGAUGGACAUGGCUUAGUCUUUUUAGUGGAGCAGAGGAACAGAUACUUAAAACCACUGUAAUUCAAAGCGAAAUAAUAAGUUCCAUGAGAGAAAUAUGAACUGAGCGCUAUUGAGUUAGGAAAAGAAUAGGAGGCACAUGACCAACUGCCAGGAUGUGUGAUUCAUAUAAUUAACACCUGAGUAGGAGAGUGCUUUGAAACCACAGGUGAUGGCUUCAUAGAGAAAAUGAGUUUUGAACGAGACUUUGAAGAAGAGGGAGAAUUUGAAUAAGUGGAGAGGCGAAAAUCCUACUCAAUUUAGGACUGAGUUGUGUUUUCCCAAGAAGAUAAUUAUUUAAUUAAAGAGAGAGCCUUUUAAAGUGGCAAAUAUUAAAGAGCAUGAGAUAAUACAGUAGGAAGACUAUAGAAAACAUUAUGCUGGGAAGAUGGCUGGCAAAUUUUUUUCCCUUUGAUGGUGCCAGGGCUUAAUCUUUUUAUCAGAUAUUUGUGUCGUUUGGUUGGAAAAUUUGUAGGGAAUGCUUAUUUUACUUCAUAAGGGCACUGAACGUUUUCAUUUUCAUUGAACAGCGCUCUGUAGUCAUAUUGGUUUAAAAACUAGAAACAAGUAUUGUGUGUUCUUGUUGAUAAGGAAAUCCAAAAUUAACCAAAGUAAGGAAACCCCCAUUAAGUAAUGUUGGCUGGUACUUUCUGCACGUGUGUCCAGACAGACAUAAGAGCUGAGCUGCUAGAAAGAAAUUGAGGAGAUUCCUUUCCUAACUUUGACAGGCCUAGAUAAAACCUUUCUGGAUCCACUCUGGCUGAGAACGUGGGAGGAAGAAUCUCUCGAAAGAUGCCCUUUUGGGCCUUUAUUCUCUGCCACACGAUUUUCCCUUCGAGGAGACUGGAGGUAAAAUGAAG